UUUCUCUGCAGUGUCAGGCCAGGAAGGAA
rnacentral:piRNA from 1 species